ACAGAGAUAGCUUGCUAUCUGCUGACGAGCGGCGGACGGGUGAGUAAUGCUUGGGAAUAUGCCUUAUGGUGGGGGACAACAGUUGGAAACGACUGCUAAUACCGCAUAACGUCUACGGACCAAAGGGGGGGAUGCUUCGGCACCUCCCGCCAUUUGAUUAGCCCAAGUGAGAUUAGCUAGUAGGUGAGGUAAGAGCUCACCUAGGCGACGAUCUCUAGCUGGUUUGAGAGGAUGAUCAGCCACACUGGGACUGAGACACGGCCCAGACUCCUACGGGAGGCAGCAGUGGGGAAUAUUGCACAAUGGGCGAAAGCCUGAUGCAGCCAUGCCGCGUGUGUGAAGAAGGCCUUCGGGUUGUAAAGCACUUUCAGCGAGGAGGAAAGGUUAGUGGUUAAUAGCCACUAGCUGUGACGUUACUCGCAGAAGAAGCACCGGCUAACUUCGUGCCAGCAGCCGCGGUAAUACGAGGGGUGCAAGCGUUAAUCGGAAUUACUGGGCGUAAAGCGUGCGUAGGUGGUUUGUUAAGCAAGAUGUGAAAGCCCUGGGCUCAACCUGGGAACUGCAUUUUGAACUGGCAAGCUAGAGU
rnacentral:rRNA from 1 species